rnacentral:rRNA from 1 species
UACAGAGGGUGCGGGCGUUAAUCGGAAUUACUGGGCGUAAAGCGCACGUAGGUGGCUUGGCAAGUCGGGUGUGAAAUCCCCGGGCUCAACCUGGGAACUGCAUUCGAGACUGCCUUGCUCGAGUAUGGGAGAGGGAAGUGGAAUUUCCGGUGUAGCGGUGAAAUGCGUAGAUAUCGGAAGGAACAUCAGUGGCGAAGGCGACUUCCUGGACCAAUACUGACACUCAGGUGCGAAAGCGUGGGGAGCAAACAGG